rnacentral:rRNA from 1 species
GACGAACGCUGGCGGCGCGCUUAACACAUGCAAGUCGAGCGAGAUCCAGGCCUUCGGGCCUGGGGACAGCGGCGGACGGGUGAGUAACACGUGGGUAAUCAACCCUCGACACUGGGAUAGCCCGGGGAAACCCGGAUUAAUACCGGAUGGCCCUUUGGAUCUUCGGAUCUGACGGGAAAGGUAGCUUCGGCCUCCGGUCGAGGACGAGCCCGCGGCGGAUUAGCUUGUUGGGGGGGUAACGGCUCACCAAGGCGACGAUCCGUAGCUGGUCUGAGAGGACGAUCAGCCACACGGGGACUGAGACAGGGCCCAGACUCCUACGGGAGGCAGCAGUGGGGAAUCUUGCGCUAAUGCGGGCAACCGUGACGCAGCGACGCCGCGUGAGGGAAGAAGGCCUUCGGGUUGUAAACCUCUUUCAGGAGGGACGAAGCCACUCGGGUGAAUAGCCCAGAGGGUGACGGUACCUCCAGAAGAAGCCCCGGCUAACUACGUGCCAGCCGCCGCGGUAACAC